ACACUUACCUAGUGGGGGGAAUUAAACCAUGAUAAUUAAAGGUGGAGUUCUAAAAUGAGUUGUUCCUUAUGCUACGAAUGUGCUGACAUCUGCAGGCCUCUCUGGUGUAGGAGAGUUGAUUGUGUAAUUUGCAGUAGUGGGGGCUAUGUUUGUACUCUCCUUUG